GACAGUGAGGCACAGGCUCAUCCUCCAGCAAUGAGAAGGAUGUCCUGGGGGUCCAUCAGAGGCUGUGACAAGAGAGUCUAGCCUGAUGAUGUGCCUUUCUAAAGGGCGAGGGCUUCUGGAGGCAGGAGGGAGAAUGGUUGGGGGGUGACAAUGAGGAGCAAGGAAGUCACCCACCUCCCCUUCAGGCCCCUUGGUACAAGGGUAGUGGGACAGAAAACAAACCCAACCCAAGACGGCUACAGUGGAAGCUUGCUCUCGGAAAGGAGCCAGGUUUUGGUUAAAGGGAGAAUAGGAAAGGAAUAUUUAAAGAAGCUGAUGAUAUUUACUUUCUAUGCCCAGCACUCAGCUGGACACUGAGACAGUGAACAAAAGAGUGAAAUAUCCUCCCUCCUGGGCCUUAUGUUCCACCUGGUGAGACAGAGUAAACAAGAUUGAAAAAGUCAAAUAUAUAGUCUAUUAGAUAGUGCUAAAUAUUAGGGGAAAAAAUAAAGCAGUGAAGAAAGAUCGAAGUGUCAGUAAUUGGGAGUUAAAACUAUAAUAGUUAGCUAAGACAGGCUCCCUGAGAAGAAGACAUUGAGUAAAGGCCUGAAGGAAAUUGGAAAGCUGACCAGAGACCUGGGGGUAAGAAGAACAGCAACUGCAAAGGCCCUGAGGUGACAGCAUGCCCACGAUGUCUGAGGAAGAGCGAGGAGGUGAUACUGAUGCUAAUGCUGCUGGUCGGGGACCAGUUUUGAGAACCACAGGAGAAGUGCAUUACAGUCAGUUUGCCCCGCAGAAUGGAGCACCCAUUUGUGCCUCAUGAUGGUGAAUUCACUGAAGGCCGCCAGCAUGGCUGUGUUUUUGUCUCUGUCAUGCUCAGCUGCACUGGAACCGGCACAGAGCAGGCAGG